UUGCUUUGGCAGCGUGUACACUAAGAUCAGAAGAAUAGAGAGAAGGUUAUCAUGAUCCCAGCAAAAGGAUAGUAUGCAAAUUUGUGAAGCGGUCCUUUUUUUU